GGCGGGGUAGCUCAGCCUGGAGAGAGCGUGCGAUUGCUAAUCGCCAGGUCGGUGGUUCAAGCCCACUCCCCGCCACCA
rnacentral:tRNA from 1 species